ACGCUGGCGGCGCGCCUAACACAUGCAAGUCGAACGAGCGAGAGAGAGCUUGCUUUCUCAAGCGAGUGGCGAACGGGUGAGUAACGCGUGAGGAACCUGCCUCAAAGAGGGGGACAACAGUUGGAAACGACUGCUAAUACCGCAUAAGACCACGGGAUCACAUGGUUCUGGGGUAAAAGAUUUAUCGGUUUGGGGUGGGCUCGCGUCCGAUUAGGUAGUUGGUGAGGUAACGGCCCACCAAGCCGACGAUCGGUAGCCGACCUGAGAGGGUGAUCGGCCACAUUGGGACUGAGACACGGCCCAAACUCCUACGGGAGGCAGCAGUGGGGAAUAUUGGGCAAUGGAGGAAACUCUGACCCAGCAACGCCGCGUGGAGGAAGAAGGUUUUCGGAUCGUAAACUCCUGUCCUUGGAGACGAGUAGAAGACGGUAUCCAAGGAGGAAGCCCCGGCUAACUACGUG
rnacentral:rRNA from 1 species